rnacentral:rRNA from 1 species
UACGGGGGGGGCAAGCGUUGUUCGGAAUUACUGGGCGUAAAGGGCGCGUAGGCGGUUUGCUAAGUUGAAUGUGAAAACUCUGGGCUUAACCCAGGGCCUGCAUUCAAUACUGGCAGGCUAGAGUUCUGGAGGGGAUAGCGGAAUUCCUGAUGUAGCGGUGAAAUGCGUAGAUAUCAGGAGGAACACCGGUGGCGAAGGCGGCUAUCUGGACAGAGUCUGACGCUGAGGCGCGAAAGCAUGGGGAGCGAACAGG